rnacentral:rRNA from 1 species
GAUGAACGCUGGCGGCGUGCCUAAUACAUGCAAGUCGAGCGAACGGACGAGAAGCUUGCUUCUCUGAUGUUAGCGGCGGACGGGUGAGUAACACGUGGAUAACCUACCUAUAAGACUGGGAUAACUUCGGGAAACCGGAGCUAAUACCGGAUAAUAUUUUGAACCGCAUGGUUCAAAAGUGAAAGACGGUCUUGCUGUCACUUAUAGAUGGAUCCGCGCUGCAUUAGCUAGUUGGUAAGGUAACGGCUUACCAAGGCAACGAUGCAUAGCCGACCUGAGAGGGUGAUCGGCCACACUGGAACUGAGACACGGUCCAGACUCCUACGGGAGGCAGCAGUAGGGAAUCUUCCGCAAUGGGCGAAAGCCUGACGGAGCAACGCCGCGUGAGUGAUGAAGGUCUUCGGAUCGUAAAACUCUGUUAUUAGGGAAGAACAUAUGUGUAAGUAACUGUGCACAUCUUGACGGUACCUAAUCAGAAAGCCACGGCUAACUACGUGCCAGCAGCCGCGGUAAUACGUAGGUGGCAAGCGUUAUCCGGAAUUAUUGGGCGUAAAGCGCGCGUAGGCGGUUUUUUAAGUCUGAUGUGAAAGCCCACGGCUCAACCGUGGAGGGUCAUUGGAAACUGGAAAACUUGAGUGCAGAAGAGGAAAGUGGAAUUCCAUGUGUAGCGGUGAAAUGCGCAGAGAUAUGGAGGAACACCAGUGGCGAAGGCGACUUUCUGGUCUGUAACUGACGCUGAUGUGCGAAAGCGUGGGGAUCAAACAGGAUUAGAUACCCUGGUAGUCCACGCCGUAAACGAUGAGUGCUAAGUGUUAGGGGGUUUCCGCCCCUUAGUGCUGCAGCUAACGCAUUAAGCACUCCGCCUGGGGAGUACGACCGCAAGGUCGAAACUCAAAGGAAUUGACGGGGACCCGCACAAGCGGUGGAGCAUGUGGUUUAAUUCGAAGCAACGCGAAGAACCUUACCAAAUCUUGACAUCCUUUGACAACUCUAGAGAUAGAGCCUUCCCCUUCGGGGGACAAAGUGACAGGUGGUGCAUGGUUGUCGUCAGCUCGUGUCGUGAGAUGUUGGGUUAAGUCCCGCAACGAACGCAACCCUUAAGCUUAGUUGCCAUCAUUAAGUUGGGCACUCUAAGUUGACUGCCGGUGACAAACCGGAGGAAGGUGGGGAUGACGUCAAAUCAUCAUGCCCCUUAUGAUUUGGGCUACACACGUGCUACAAUGGACAAUACAAAGGGCAGCGAAACCGCGAGGUCAAGCAAAUCCCAUAAAGUUGUUCUCAGUUCGGAUUGUAGUCUGCAACUCGACUACAUGAAGCUGGAAUCGCUAGUAAUCGUAGAUCAGCAUGCUACGGUGAAUACGUUCCCGGGUCU